AUGCGAUCUCGGUGGCUUGGCUCUGCCUCAGAGGGAUCUGGCACUGUGACUCCUAGCAGUUCCAGCAUAUCCUCCACACAGACACACUGCUCUCCUAAUACAGGACAGAGAGCUUUCCGCUCUGCCAUACAGGGCAUCUCAUGUCACACGAUGUGGCUGUUUGUAUACUUUAAGGAUCCAGUUCUAAAUCUAUCUCUCAGUGAAUGUGCGCAUGUCCUCGAGCUGAGUUACCCAACGACCCAGAGUUCACAGUGUUAAGUGGGUCAGACGUGACGCUGUGGCGUCUAGAGGAACGGUCUGUCAUAACCCUCACACUCCACAGUCCACAGUGUUAAAUAGGUCAGUCACAGCAGGUCACGCACAACCAUGUCGACCGUGGAGCAAUUUGUUCUGUGAAGUGUGUAAGUGUACGAAGUGUACAUGUGUGCUGUAAAUAUUAAUGUAAAGUUAUUUUUUUACCACAGUGGUAGUCUAGAGGGUUUUCAAGCUUUUAGAUGCUACAAACCCCAAAAUAUGAUCAAAAGGCAGCUAUAUAUUUUAAUGUAUAAAGACCCAUUUUAUCCUGCAAAACUGAAUAUUACAAAUGUGCAAAAUAUUUUAUUACAUUAUUACUUUUCUUUUUUCGCUACUCAGGUACUGUACUAUUAAAUGUAUUUAUUUAUUUUUAACAAACAUUUUAUUAUUUGUUUAGUUUAUUCUAAUUUGCGAUAUAUUUAUAUUUUAAUUGUAACUUUUUUUUUUUUUUUUACUUUUUUUUUUCAUCUUUCUCUAAACCUUUCUAUGGACCCCCCAGCACUUCCUUGCAGCCUCUCAUUUAUUGCAUUUAUAUUGUAAAAAUCAAUAUUAUCAGUAAAUAUUAUUUGAAAAAAUAUUUAGUUUGUAUUGUUACAUUAAUUUUUUCCCUACUCACUAAGGUAAUGUACUGUUAGAUGUAUUUAUUAUUUAUAAUAAAUGUUUUUGUUUAUUUAAAAAUAUUUAUAUAUUUCUAAAUAAAAAGGAUUUUAAAAAAUUGUUUUACAUUUUUUUUCUUGAAUUUUCCAUGAAUCCCUAGCAC
ensembl:lncRNA